rnacentral:rRNA from 1 species
ACUCCUACGGGAGGCAGCAGUGAGGAAUAUUGGACAAUGGGCGGGAGCCUGAUCCAGCCAUGCCGCGUGCAGGAAGACUGCCUAUGGGUUGUAAACUGCUUUGUACAGGAAGAAACACUCCCUCGUGAGGGAGCUGACUGGUACUGUAAGAAUAAGGAUCGGCUAACUCCGUGCCAGCAGCCGCGGUAAUACGGAGGAUCCAAGCGUUAUCCGGAAUCAUUGGGUUUAAAGGGUCCGUAGGUGGAUGAUUAAGUCAGAGGUGAAAUCCUGCAGCUCAACUGUAGAAUUGCCUUUGAUACUGGUUGUCUUGAAUUAUUGUGAAGUAGUUAGAAUAUGUGGUGUAGCGGUGAAAUGCAUAGAUAUCACAUAGAAUACCGAUUGCGAAGGCAGAUUACUAACAAUACAUUGACACUGAUGGACGAAAGCGUGGGAGCGAACAGGAUUAGAUA